GCGGCGGACGGGUGAGUAACACGUGGGUAACCUGCCUGUAAGACUGGGAUAACUCCGGGAAACCGGGGCUAAUACCGGAUGGUUGUUUGAACCGCAUGGUUCAGACAUAAAAGGUGGCUUCGGCUACCACUUACAGAUGGACCCGCGGCGCAUUAGCUAGUUGGUGAGGUAACGGCUCACCAAGGCGACGAUGCGUAGCCGACCUGAGAGGGUGAUCGGCCACACUGGGACUGAGACACGGCCCAGACUCCUACGGGAGGCAGCAGUAGGGAAUCUUCCGCAAUGGACGAAAGUCUGACGGAGCAACGCCGCGUGAGUGAUGAAGGUUUUCGGAUCGUAAAGCUCUGUUGUUAGGGAAGAACAAGUGCCGUUCAAAUAGGGCGGCACCUUGACGGUACCUAACCAGAAAGCCACGGCUAACUACGUGCCAGCAGCCGCGGUAAUACGUAGGUGGCAAGCGUUGUCCGGAAUUAUUGGGCGUAAAGGGCUCGCAGGCGGUUUCUUAAGUCUGAUGUGAAAGCCCCCGGCUCAACCGGGGAGGGUCAUUGGAAACUGGGGAACUUGAGUGCAGAAGAGGAGAGUGGAAUUCCACGUGUAGCGGUGAAAUGCGUAGAGAUGUGGAGGAACACCAGUGGCGAAGGCGACUCUCUGGU
rnacentral:rRNA from 1 species